rnacentral:rRNA from 1 species
UACGAAGGGGGCUAGCGUUGCUCGGAAUCACUGGGCGUAAAGCGCACGUAGGCGUCUUUUUAAGUCAGGGGUGAAAUCCUGGAGCUCAACUCCAGAACUGCCUUUGAUACUGAGAAGCUUGAGUCCGGGAGAGGUGAGUGGAACUGCGAGUGUAGAGGUGAAAUUCGUAGAUAUUCGGAAGAACACCAGUGGCGAAGGCGACUCACUGGCCCGUUACUGACGCUGAGGCGCGAAAGCGUGGGGAGCAAACAGG